rnacentral:rRNA from 1 species
AUUGAACGCUGGCGGCAGGCCUAACACAUGCAAGUCGAGCGGAUGAGGGGAGCUUGCUCCCUGAUUUAGCGGCGGACGGGUGAGUAAUGCCUAGGAAUCUGCCUGGUAGUGGGGGACAACGUUCCGAAAGGAACGCUAAUACCGCAUACGUCCUACGGGAGAAAGCAGGGGACCUUCGGGCCUUGCGCUAUCAGAUGAGCCUAGGUCGGAUUAGCUAGUUGGUGAGGUAAUGGCUCACCAAGGCGACGAUCCGUAACUGGUCUGAGAGGAUGAUCAGUCACACUGGAACUGAGACACGGUCCAGACUCCUACGGGAGGCAGCAGUGGGGAAUAUUGGACAAUGGGCGAAAGCCUGAUCCAGCCAUGCCGCGUGUGUGAAGAAGGUCUUCGGAUUGUAAAGCACUUUAAGUUGGGAGGAAGGGCUGCUGGUUAAUACCCUGCAGUUUUGACGUUACCAACAGAAUAAGCACCGGCUAACUUCGUG